UACAGAGGGGGCAAGCGUUGUCCGGACUUACUGGGUGUAAAGCGCAUGCAGGUGGCUGUGCAAGUAUGCUGUGAAAGCCCCGUGCUUAACACGGGGAGGCCAGUAUAGACUGCACGGCUCGAGGACUGCAGAGGGUAGGGGAAUUGCUGGUGUAGUGGUGAAAUGCGUAGAGAUCAGGAAGAAUACCCGUGGCGCAAGCGCCCACCUGGCCGAGACCUGACGCUAAGGCACGAAGGCGUGGGGGAGCGAACCGG
rnacentral:rRNA from 1 species